rnacentral:ncRNA from 1 species
CAACCUGAACUCAGUCGUGAUUACCCGCUGAACUUAAGCAUAUCAUUUAGCGGAGGAAAAGAAACUAAAAAGGAUUCCCCUAGUAACGGCGAGUGAAACGGGAAGAGCCCAGCGCCGAAUCGAUCA